rnacentral:rRNA from 1 species
UACGGAGGGAGCUAGCGUUGUUCGGAAUUACUGGGCGUAAAGCGCACGUAGGCGGCUUUGUAAAGUUAGAGGUGAAAGCCCGGGGGCUCAACCCCGGAAUUGCCUUUAAGACUGCAUCGCUUGAAUCCGGGAGGAGGUGAGUGGAAUUCCGAGUGAUAGAGGUGAAAUUCGUAGAUAUUCGGAAGAACACCAGUGGCGAAGGCGGCUCACCUGGACCGGUAUUGACGCUGAGGUGCGAAAGUGUGGGGAGCAAACAGG